AAAUUGAAGAGUUUGAUCAUGGCUCAGAUUGAACGCUGGCGGCAGGCCUAACACAUGCAAGUCGAACGGUAACAGGAAGAAGCUUGCUUCUUUGCUGACGAGUGGCGGACGGGUGAGUAAUGUCUGGGAAACUGCCUGAUGGAGGGGGAUAACUACUGGAAACGGUAGCUAAUACCGCAUAACGUCGCAAGACCAAAGAGGGGGACCUUCGGGCCUCUUGCCAUCGGAUGUGCCCAGAUGGGAUUAGCUAGUAGGUGGGGUAAUGGCUCACCUAGGCGACGAUCCCUAGCUGGUCUGAGAGGAUGACCAGCCACACUGGAACUGAGACACGGUCCAGACUCCUACGGGAGGCAGCAGUGGGGAAUAUUGCACAAUGGGCGCAAGCCUGAUGCAGCCAUGCCGCGUGUAUGAAGAAGGCCUUCGGGUUGUAAAGUACUUUCAGCGGGGAGGAAGGGAGUAAAGUUAAUACCUUU
rnacentral:rRNA from 1 species